rnacentral:rRNA from 1 species
CGAGUGGCGAACGGGUGAGUAACACGUGGGUGAUCUGCCCUGCACUCUGGGAUAAGCCUGGGCAACUGGGUCUAAUACCGGAUAGGACCAUGCUUUAGUGUGUGUGGUGGAAAGUUUUUUCGGUGUAGGAUGAGCCCGCGGCCUAUCAGCUUGUUGGUGGGGUAAUGGCCUACCAAGGCGGCGACGGGUAGCCGGACUGAGAGGUUGGUCGGCCACAUUGGGACUGAGAUACGGCCCAG